rnacentral:rRNA from 1 species
GACGAACGCUGGCGGCGUGCUUAACACAUGCAAGUCGAGCGGUAAGGCCCUUUCGGGGGUACACGAGCGGCGAACGGGUGAGUAACACGUGGGUGACCUGCCCUCAGCUCUGGGAUAAGCCUGGGAAACCGGGUCUAAUACUGGAUAUGACUCCAUGACGCAUGUUGUGGGGUGGAAAGCCUUGUGCGGCUGAGGAUGGGCCCGCGGCCUAUCAGCUUGUUGGUGGGGUGAUGGCCGUACCAAGGCGACGACGGGUAGCCGGCCUGAGAGGGCGACCGGCCACACUGGGACUGAGACACGGCCC